UACGUAGGGUGCGAGCGUUAAUCGGAAUUACUGGGCGUAAAGCGUGCGCAGGCGGUUCGUUGUGUCGGUGGUGAAAUCCCCGGGCUUAACCUGGGAAUGGCCAUGGAAACUGGCGAACUGGAGUGUGGCAGAGGGGGGUGGAAUUCCGCGUGUAGCAGUGAAAUGCGUAGAGAUGUGGAGGAAUACCGAUGGCGAAGGCAGCCCCCUGGGAUAACACUGACGCUCAUGCACGAAAGCGUGGGGAGCAAACAGG
rnacentral:rRNA from 1 species